UUGUACACACCGCCCGUCACACCAUGGAAGCUGGUCACGCCCGAAGUCAUUACCUCAACCGCAAGGAGGGGGAUGCCUAAGGCAGGGCUAGUGACUGGGGUGAAGUCGUAACAAGGUAGCCGUACCGGAAGGUGUGGCUGGAUCACCUCCUUAAAGGGAGACCUAAUUCAGGUAGGAGACGAAAAAAAAGUAGUCGCUACCAAGAAUCAAUCCCAAAAGGUCGGAGCGAGGCGAAAUUGGCUUUCAAACUAGGUUCUGGGUUCAAACAAGACCUGAAUCAGGAACAAGGGCUAUUAGCUCAGGUGGUUAGAGCGCACCCCUGAUAAGGGUGAGGUCCCUGGUUCGAGUCCAGGAUGGCCCACCUGUACAGGUGGCAAAAAGAAAGAAAAGAAGCGAGGAAUCAGCACCUUAUCUUACUUAUAUAAUAAGAGAGAAUGCUGGCUCUGAGUAAAGAGUCCAGAGGAACCUUGAAAACUGCAUAGAGCUAGGUGAAAAAGCCAAAAAAGAAGACCGCAAG
rnacentral:misc_RNA from 1 species